GCCUUUUAAUUGAAGGCUAGAAUGAAUGGUUUGACGAGGAUUAUCUUUCUUUAUUUUUAGACUUUAAUUUAAUUUUUCAGUUAAAAAGCUGAGAUUUUGUUGGGGGACGAGAAGACCCUAUAGAACUUUACAUUAUAUUGAUUUGAGUUAGUUUAAUUUAUUUAGAUUUAUUAUAUGUUUUGUUGGGGUGACAGUUAAAAUUUUGUAACUUUAAUAUUUUUUAUCCAUUAAUUUGUGUUUUGUUUGAUCCAUUAUUAUUGAUUAAUAGAUUAAGUUACCUUAGGGAUAACAGCGU
rnacentral:rRNA from 1 species